GGGGAGAGAGAAAUGACACCAAAGAAAAAAAAAGGAAAAGAAAUGAAUGGGACUAGGAGUUAGAUGAAAAGAGCAACUAAAGGAGUUUAAUCUAGAUUAUUUGAAAAAUCCAAAGAAUCAUGUAGUUGAAUCAAAAUGUAAUUUUCAUCUAAUAUUCUGUUCAAUCUCAUUUCACAUCAAUUCAAAUCAACUGGUUUUUGAAUCGUG
rnacentral:misc_RNA from 1 species